rnacentral:rRNA from 1 species
CGUAGGUGGCGAGCGUUGUCCGGAUUUACUGGGCGUAAAGGGAGCGUAGGCGGUUUUUUAAGUGGGGCGUGAAAUCCCUGGGCUUAACCCAGGAAUUGCAUUCCAUACUGGAAGACUAGAGUGCAGGAGAGGAAAGUGGAAUUCCAAGUGUAGCGGUGAAAUGCGUAGAGAUUUGGAGGAACACCAGUGGCGAAGGCGACUUUCUGGACUGUAACUGACGCUGAGGCUCGAGAGCGUGGGGAGCAAACAGGAUUAGAUACCCUGGUAGUCCACGCUGUAAACGAUGAAUACUAGGUGUAGGGGGCGAAGCCCUCUGUGCCGCAGUUAACACAUUAAGUAUUCCGCCUGGGGAGUACGAUCGCAAGAUUA